rnacentral:rRNA from 1 species
AUUGAACGCUGGCGGCAGGCCUAACACAUGCAAGUCGAACGAGUGGCGGACGGGUGAGUAAUGUCUGGGAAACUGCCCGAUGGAGGGGGAUAACUACUGGAAACGGUAGCUAAUACCGCCUACCAUCGGAUGUGCCCAGAUGGGAUUAGCUUGUAGGUGAGGUAACGGCUCACCUAGGCGACGAUCCCUAGCUGGUCUGAGAGGAGGACCAGCCACACGGGAACUGAGACACGGUCCAGACUCCUACGGGAGGCAAAAGUGGGGAAUAGUGGACAAGGGGCGAAAGCCUGAUGCAGCAAGGACGGGUGUAUGAAGAAGGCCUGGGGGUUGUAAAGUACGUUCAGCGGGGAGGCGUUACCCGCAGAAGAAGCACCGGCUAACUACGUGCCAGCAGCCGCGGUAAUAC